rnacentral:rRNA from 1 species
ACAGCAGCAGCCACGGUAAUACGGAGGGGGCUAGCGUUGUUCGGAAUUACUGGGCGUAAAGCGCACGUAGGCGGCUUUGUAAGUCAGAGGUGAAAGCCCGGGGCUCAACCCCGGAAUUGCCUUUGAGACUGCAUCGCUUGAAUCCAGGAGAGGUGAGUGGAAUUCCGAGUGUAGAGGUGAAAUUCGUAGAUAUUCGGAAGAACACCAGUGGCGAAGGCGGCUCACUGGACGACUGUUGACGCUGAGGUACGAAAGCGUGGGGAGCAAACAGGAUUAGAUACCCCAGUAGUCCCUGUCUCUUAUAC